rnacentral:rRNA from 1 species
AUUGAACGCUGGCGGCAGGCCUAACACAUGCAAGUCGAGCGGCGCGGCGGCCGGGUGAGUAAUGCCUAUGAAUCUGCCUGUUAGUGGGGGAUCACGUCCAGUACCGGGCGCUAAUACCGCAUCCUCUCGCCUGAGCCUAGGUCGGAUUAGCUGGUUGGUGGGGUAAAGGAAUACCAAGGCGACGAUGCGUAACUGGUCUGAGAGGAUGAUCAGUCACACUGGAACUGAGACACGGUCCAGACUCCUACGGGAGGCAGCAGUGGGGAAUAUUGGACAAUGGGCGAAAGCCUGAUGCAGCCAUGCCGCGUGUGUGAAGAAGGUCUUCGGAUUGUAAAGCACUUUAAGUUGGGAGGCGUUACCAACAGAAGAAGCACCGGCUAACUUCGUGCCAGCAGCCGCGGUAAUAC